GUAAGAAUAAGGAUCGGCUAACUCCGUGCCAGCAGCCGCGGUAAUACGGAGGAUCCAAGCGUUAUCCGGAUUUAUUGGGUUUAAAGGGUGCGUAGGCGGACUUGUAAGUCAGUGGUGAAAGCCCGCAGCUUAACUGCGGAACUGCCAUUGAUACUGCUAGUCUUGAGUAUAGUUGAGGUGGGCGGAAUGUGUCAUGUAGCGGUGAAAUGCUUAGAUAUGACACAGAACACCGAUUGCGAAGGCAGCUCGCUAAACUAUAACUGACGCUGAGGCACGAAAGUGUGGGUAGCAAACAGGAUUAGAUACCCUGGUAGUCCACACCCUAAACGAUGAAUACUCGAUGUGUGCGAUAUACAGUACGCGUCUAAGCGAAAGCAUUAAGUAUUCCACCUGGGGAGUACGGUCGCAAGAUG
rnacentral:rRNA from 1 species